rnacentral:rRNA from 1 species
CCUACGGGUGGCAGCAGUGGGGAAUCUUGGUCAAUGGGCGCAAGCCUGAACCAGCGACGCCGCGUGAGUGAUGAAGGCCUUCGGGUUGUAAAGCUCUGUGGGGAGAGACGAAAACGUCGGGCGCGAACAGCUCCCGGCCUUGACGGUAUCUCCUUAGCAAGCACCGGCUAACUCUGUGCCAGCAGCCGCGGUAAGACAGAGGGUGCAAACGUUGCUCGGAAUUACUGGGCGUAAAGCGCGUGUAGGCGGACCGAUGUGUCAGGUGUGAAAUCCCCGGGCUCAACCCGGGAACUGCACUUGAAACUGUCGGCCUUGAGUACCGGAGAGGGUGGCGGAAUUCCUGGUGUAGAGGUGAAAUUCGUAGAUAUCAGGAGGAACACCGGUGGCGAAGGCGGCCACCUGGACGGUUACUGACGCUGAGACGCGAAAGCGUGGGGAGCAAACAGGAUUAGAUACCCGAGUAGUC